GUGGAGCCAGGCUCCACCCCUCUUAGGCUUCAUUUAAGGGCUGACUGCCCCUAAGGAAGGAUUUCUUCCUGGAGAUCCCUUCUUGGUGGGAGCAUUUCCCUGCGAGCCCAAAAUCUUCCAAUCCAGGUGAGCGCUGUAUUUUCCUUCCACGUAUUUGUAACACUAUUUCCAUUGCGUUAGUCCUUCUGAUUGCUACAGAAUAACAGCCAAAAAAUGUUAUACAGUGAUGAUGCUGACUGAGGAGUUCAGAUUUGAUGAAAACCAGAAUUCUCUUGCUUCAAAAAUGCAGAAGGGGAAGACAGUUCGAUUUGCACAGAGAUUGAGAUCCCUGCGAGUAACUGGAAGCAGACACAUUGUGGGAGAACUUCACAGAGAACUUGUCCGUCACUGUGGAGAAGACAAGGCUGUGAGGCAGGUGCUUGGAGACCCGUACUGAAUUAUGCACAGCAGAAAAUCUGCAAAAUAUACUUCAAGAGCUGGAAAUUUACCGUGUGUGACUGAAAAUUGCAGAGAGGCAGAACCCAAAUUUCCAGAUUAACUAUUUCAUCAAUUAAAGCUGCAUUUGCAAUCCUUUCUUAUUUGUCUGCCCAUCUGCGUCUACUGCUGAUACAAAGCCAUCAUCGUAACAGAAAUUGAAAUGGAUAUUUGAUGCCCUGUGCCUACGGCAGCCUAAGGGUUUGGGGAGCAUUUUUUGUUUGUUUGUUUUGUUUGUUUUAAAGAAUAGGAGUUCCAGCUAAUUAAUUUUUUCCAUGUAUUUGCUUUAGUUUGUGGAAUUCCAUAGUUCCUAUUAAGUAGAGGCAGGUAAUUAAGUAAGAAAAUGAAGCAAGCUUUGCCACACACAUUGUGUUUACAGAGUUGAAAGGGCAACUUUUAUAUUUGGGAUAAUGCGGUACCUGGUUACGCAGGAACACACAACUCCAUCCCAUUCUCAACAUAUUUUGCAAGCAUACUUCAACCCUCCAGCCUCUCAUGAGUUCAGCUGCAUCCUCAGUGUGUCUUUCAGCUCUGUAAGGUCCAACCCUUAGUAUUACUGCACUAAACAGUGAUAUGCUUUGCCUAAAUGCAAAUUACAGAUUGCAGAGCCUCAGUUGAGAUGCUAUGAGCUGAGGCAGCCCAAGUAUUGCCAGCUCCUUGCAAAGAUGUCAUUAGCACAAAGCAGGUCUGCGAGUGAGAAAAUUGGUUCUGAAAGCAGCGUUAAUGGGGAAAUGUGCAACCUCAAAAAUCUUGCUCUCUGCAUCCAAACUCAAUUACUUUAAUACAUCUGCAUAAUGUUGGGCUAACAUGGCAAGGUUUUGGUAGCAGGGAGCUGCAGGGGUGGGUGCCCUCUGUGAGCAGAGCCCCACGCUGUUCCAUGUCAGAUCACAGCCAGCUCCAGCUGCUCCCAAGGGACUGGCAAUGGCCAGAGCUGAGCCGUGAGCAACGCUGGGUGUGCUCUG
rnacentral:lncRNA from 1 species